rnacentral:rRNA from 1 species
GUGGGGAAUCUUAGACAAUGGGCGCAAGCCUGAUCUAGCCAUGCCGCGUGAGCGAUGAAGGCCUUAGGGUUGUAAAGCUCUUUCACCGGUGAAGAUAAUGACUGUAGCCGGAGAAGAAGCCCCGGCUAACUUCGUGCCAGCAGCCGCGGUAAUACGAAGGGGGCUAGCGUUGUUCGGAAUUACUGGGCGUAAAGCGCACGUAGGCGGAUCAGAAAGUCAGAGGGGAAAUCCCAGGGCUCAACCUUGGAACUGCCUUUGAAACUCCUGGUCUUGAGGUCGAGAGAGGUGAGUGGAAUUCCGAGUGUAGAGGUGAAAUUCGUAGAUAUUCGGAGGAACACCAGUGGCGAAGGCGGCUCACUGGCUCGAUACUGACGCUGAGGUGCGAAAGCGUGGGGAGCAAACAGGAUUAGAAACCCCAGUAGUCC